rnacentral:rRNA from 1 species
UUAAGCGUGUAGGCGUGCCCCUUAGGCAAAUCCGGGGGGCUGAGCUGAGGCGUGAUGACGAGGAACCACGGUUCCGAAGUGAUUGAUACCAAGCUUCCAGGAAAAGCCACUAAGCUUCAGUCUAGAGUUGACCGUACCGCAAACCGACACAGGUGGGCAGGAUGAAAAUUCUAAGGCGCUUGAGAGAACUCAGGAGAAGGAACUCGGCAAAUUAACACCGUAACUUCGGGAGAAGGUGUGCCCCGGUAGCGUGUAGAGACUUGCUCUCGAAGCGCGAUGGGGUUGCAGUGAAAUGGUGGCUGCGACUGUUUAAUAAAAACACAGCACUCUGCAAACACGAAAGUGGACGUAUAGGGUGUGACGCCUGCCCGGUGCCGGAAGGUUAAGUGAUGGGGUGCAAGCUCUUGAUCGAAGCCCCGGUAAACGGCGGCCGUAACAAUAACGGUCCUAAGGUAGCGAAAUUCCUUGUCGGGUAAGUUCCGACCUGCACGAAUGGCGUAACGAUGGCCACACUGUCUCCUCCUGGGACUCAGCGAAGUUGAAAUGUUUGUGAAGAUGCAAUCUACCCGCGGCUAGACGGAAAGACCCCAUGAACCUUUACUGUAGCUUUGCAUUGGACUUUGAACCGGUUUGUGUAGGAUAGGUGGGAGACUGUGAAGCCGGGACGCUAGUUUCGGUGGAGUCAACCUUGAAAUACCACCCUGAUUUGUUUGAGGUUCUAACCUUGGUCCGUGAAUCCGGAUCGGGGACCGUGCAUGGUAGGCAGUUUGACUGGGGCGGUCUCCUCCCAAAAGGUAACGGAGGAGUACGAAGGUACGCUUAGGGCGGUCGGACAUCGCCCACAAAGUGCAAUGGCAAAAGCGUGCUUGACUGCGAGACCCACAAGUCGAGCAGGUACGAAAGUAGGUCAUAGUGAUCCGGUGGUUCUGUAUGGAAGGGCCGUCGCUCAACGGAUAAAAGGUACUCUGGGAUAACAGGCUAAUUCCUCCCAAGAGUUCAUAUCGACGGGGGAGUUUGGCACCUCGAUGUCGGCUCAUCACAUCCUGGGGCUGUAGUCGGUCCCAAGGGUAUGGCUGUUCGCCAUUUAAAGUGGUACGCGAGCUGGGUUUAAAACGUCGUGAGACAGUUUGGUCCCUAUCUGCCGUGGGCGCUGGAAAUUUGAAGGGGGCUGCUCCUAGUACGAGAGGACCGGAGUGGACGAACCUCUGGUGUACCGGUUAUGACGCCAGUCGUAUCGCCGGGUAGCUAAGUUCGGAAGAGAUAAACGCUGAAAGCAUCUAAGCGUGAAACUCGCCUUAAGAUAAGAUUUCCCGGAGUCUUGAACUCCCUGAAGGGUCGUCGAAGACCACGACGUUGAUAGGUCAGGUGUGGAAGCGCAGCAAUGCGUUAAGCUAACUGAUACUAAUUGCCCGUGCGGCUUGACC